CCUGCAGCUCAAGCAAGGUCCCCCUGCUCAAGCCAGCGCAUGUCCAGGCCUGUCUAAAGUUUGCCAAUGACCAUCUGGAUGAUCCAGAGGAGGAAUGGGAGAAGGUCAUGUGGUCAGAUGAGACAAAAAUAAAGCUAUUUUGUCUAAACUCCACUCGCUGUGUUUGGAGGAAGAUAGAA